AAACCUCUUUGUGCUGCAACAUGUAUUUCUACUGGUAGUCACCAGACACAGACCCUUUCUGCCUCUCCCUGUACACACCAAAGAGCUAAAACUACAGACUGCAUUGUAUGAAGGAGGACUGCUGCCUACCUUAGGUCUAUGCAAAUCCCACCUCCUGGGCAGUAUUUUAAAACCAGAAGCUGAAGCUGGCAGUCUUCUAUCAGAGGGCCUGAUUCCAGCCUCACCUCACUACGUUUAAACCAGCAGAGCCAAGGUCAGAGCUGUGUUUGUCGUAUACCAGCAGAGCCAACACCAAGGUGAGUCCCAAGGAGAAGUGCAGUACACCUGAAAUGCAGCACAGGAGUAGUUGCAAUAUUACCAUGCUUUAGUGUGUUCGCCACGGACACACGGGAAUUGGAAUUUAUGCAGAGGAAGCACUCAGUGGGACCAUAUUUCCUCCGAAAAUGUUUCUCCCAGGAAGCCAAAUCACAUUUCUUUAUUCAACCCAGACUAGUUAAAUUUGUAUUUGCAAAAUGAGUACCGAUUUCUCAGUGAUUUUUUGCUCCUCCAAGACAGAUUUCUUAUGGUGUGUCACGUUUCCAUCGCAGGCACAAAUUCCCCUCUCGGAAUUGUUUCUGUGAAAUACCACAGCCGUAUGCACACAGUUCAGUUACUCAUCUGACAGGGAAGCAGCAUAUGUAUUAUAAAUCUUAAACAUGCCAUGCAAAUAUGCACGUUGGUCUGAAAUUCAGGCCCCGUCUGUCCCAGGAAUGUUAAUGAAAACAAACAAAGGUGACCUACUUUAGCGCAUCAGCUCUUCCCUGAUAAUAGAUGGCUCCUGCAAGAUUUUAUUUUUGCUCUAGGUCAGAGUUUAAUCUUCAUUACACAGGUGUGACGACAGAUCUACUUAAGCAACUUCUGCAGCUAUCGCAUUGAUCCCAAUAAGAUCCGGACUGUACGGACUUGCCCAAUGUGUCAUAGUGGAUUUGUGGCAGAGAUGAAAAGAAAAUCCAUAAGUGCUGUGCACAUCCUGCUGUUCUCCUCCUUACACAACACUUUGUUACAUAAAGCCUAUUUUUC
rnacentral:lncRNA from 1 species